rnacentral:misc_RNA from 1 species
AUAGCACUUCCAUUCCUAAUAGGAAAGCUUAAAAGAAUACAGGUAGAACAGCAACGCCUGGGAGCAAACAAUUUCAGUCUUAACUGGUUCCCGGGCUCUCUCCCCGAUACACCGCUUCAAGGCAUUCCUUUGCUCGGUGAACUUUGGACUGGAGAUAGAAGCUUCCUAUCUUGGCAUUCCUCUGAAACAAGGCAUCGUAUUUCUGCAAGACAUCCUCCCAUGGGGCAUUCUCGCUAAUCCCUAAGAUCUGCCUAGCUUCCUGUUCCGUCAUGGUUUUG